rnacentral:misc_RNA from 1 species
UACGGAGGGUGCGAGCGUUAAUCGGAAUUACUGGGCGUAAAGCGCGCGUAGGCGGCUAUGUACGCCGGUUGUGAAAGCCCCGGGCUCAACCUGGGAAUAGCAUUCGGAACUGUUUAGCUAGAGUGCAGAAGAGGAAGGUAGAAUUCCCGGUGUAGAGGUGAAAUGCGUAGAGAUUGGGAGGAAUACCAGUGGCGAAGGCGGCCUUCUGGUCUGGCACUGACGCUGAGGUGCGAAAGCGUGGGUAGCAAACAGG